UACACUAAUCCUAAACUACACUCCAGUGUUUUACCCAAUGCCCCGGGCUUUCAUUGCGAACGUCCUUCGAGUACAAGAUACCUCGGGGCAUUCUCCGGUUAAGAAGUAUAUAAGACCUCGGGGCAUUCCCCGGUACAAUGAAUACAUUUUUCUCAAAUUUGUGCGUUAAAAUGGAAAGAAUCAUUCAACAAAUAUUCACACAUUCAACAACAAAUCACCAUCUUUCAUUUCUACAAUUUGCCUAUCCGACUUAGUAUUUGCCUACCCCGCUCGACCUAUCAUGAUACUAUCACAAUCAACGACAUCAAUGAAUCAAAACAACAAUAUUCACUUUAAUCAACUUUCAAUCCCCGUCCCACUUAACUAAUCUUAAUUCUUAAUGAGAUAUUAUUUCAUCACACAACCCAUAAUCAAUCCAUAAUCAAGGAAAUCAAAUACCGAAUCAAGACAACCAACAAUUCACAUCAUCAGAGAUCAACCACUGGUGUGUGUGCUCUCUUCCCUCUUCUUCAUCUGCGAGUCUUGUGAAGAAGAAGAAGAAGCCGUGUGGAGAAGAAGAGGAAGCCGAGACCCUCCCUUUUUUCUUCAAUCGCGACUGUUAGCUCCCUUGUCUGUGUAAAAAUCAAUGUGGAGAAGAAGAUGAUGGUCAGUGGAAUUUGUGUAUCCGUCUAUGUGCGUAUUUGUGAGAUUUCCAGUGGAGAAGUUGAA
rnacentral:lncRNA from 1 species